GUGCCUACGGGACACAGCAGUGGGGAAUAUUGGACAAUGGGGGAAACCCUGAUCCAGCGACGCCGCGUGAGUGAAGAAGUAUUUCGGUACGUAAAGCUCUAUCAGCAGGAAAGAGAAUGACGGUACCUGACUAAGAAGCCCCGGCUAACUACGUGCCAGCAGCCGCGGUAAUACGUAGGGGGCAAGCGUUAUCCGGAUUUACUGGGUGUAAAGGGAGCGUAGACGGCGGAACAAGUCAGAAGUGAAAACCCGGGGCUCAACCCUGGGAGUGCUUUUGAAACUGUUUGGCUGGAGUGCAGGAGAGG
rnacentral:rRNA from 1 species